CAGGAGUGUAUAUUAAAGUUGCUGCGGUUAAAAGCUCGUAGUUGAAUUCCUGCCAAGGCUGACUGGUCCGCCCUUUGGUGAGCAUCUGGUUCGGCAGGAGCAUAUUCUUGGGAAGUGCGUCUUCACUUGAUUGUGUGGUGUGAUGCCCAGGGUUUUACCUUGAGGAAAUUAGAGUGUUUCAAGCAGGAUCAUGCCUUGGAUACAGUAGCAUGGAAUAGCGAUUGAACAUCUUGGUUGUAUUUUGUUGGCGUCUAUGCCUAAGGUGAUGAUUGAAAAGGGAUACUUGAGGACAUACGAAUUUAACUGCCCAGAGGUGAAAUUCUUGGACU
rnacentral:rRNA from 1 species